GUUGUAUGGUUAAGUGACUAAGCGUACACGGUGGAUGCCUGGGCAGUCAGAGGCGAUGAAGGACGUACUAACUUGCGAUAAGCGCAGAUAAGGCAGUAAGAGCCGUUUGAGUCUGCGAUUUCCGAAUGGGGAAACCCAACUGCAUAAGCAGUUACUGUUAACUGAAUACAUAGGUUAACAGAGCAAACCGGGGGAACUGAAACAUCUAAGUACCCCGAGGAGAAGAAAUCAACCGAGAUUCCGGUAGUAGCGGCGAGCGAACCUGGAUUAGCCCUUAAGCACUCGGUGAAGUAGGUGAACAAGCUGGAAAGCUUGGCGAUACAGGGUGAUAGCCCCGUAACCGACGCUUCAUCGAGCGUGAAAUCGAGUAGGGCGGGACACGUGAUAUCCUGUCUGAAUAUGGGGGGACCAUCCUCCAAGGCUAAAUACUCCUGACUGACCGAUAGUGAACCAGUACCGUGAGGGAAAGGCGAAAAGAACCCCUGUGAGGGGAGUGAAAUAGAACCUGAAACCGUGUACGUACAAGCAGUAGGAGCACCUUCGUGGUGUGACUGCGUACCUUUUGUAUAAUGGGUCAGCGACUUAUAUUCAGUGGCAAGGUUAACCGUAUAGGGGAGCCGUAGCGAAAGCGAGUCUUAACUGGGCGCUCAGUCUCUGGAUAUAGACCCGAAACCGGGUGAUCUAGCCAUGGGCAGGUUGAAGGUUGAGUAACAUCAACUGGAGGACCGAACCGACUAAUGUUGAAAAAUUAGCGGAUGACUUGUGGCUAGGGGUGAAAGGCCAAUCAAACUCGGAGAUAGCUGGUUCUCCCCGAAAGCUAUUUAGGUAGCGCCUCGGACGAAUACUACUGGGGGUAGAGCACUGUUAAGGCUAGGGGGUCAUCCCGACUUACCAACCCUUUGCAAACUCCGAAUACCAGUAAGUACUAUCCGGGAGACACACGGCGGGUGCUAACGUCCGUCGUGGAGAGGGAAACAACCCAGACCGCCAGCUAAGGUCCCAAAGUAUUGCUAAGUGGGAAACGAUGUGGGAAGGCUCAGACAGCUAGGAUGUUGGCUUAGAAGCAGCCAUCAUUUAAAGAAAGCGUAAUAGCUCACUAGUCGAGUCGGCCUGCGCGGAAGAUGUAACGGGGCUAAGCAAUACACCGAAGCUGCGGCAAUGAAGUUUACUUCAUUGGGUAGGGGAGCGUUCUGUAAGCCGUUGAAGGUGAAUCGUAAGGUUUGCUGGAGGUAUCAGAAGUGCGAAUGCUGACAUGAGUAACGACAAGGGGGGUGAAAAACCUCCCCGCCGGAAGACCAAGGGUUCCUGUCCAACGUUAAUCGGGGCAGGGUGAGUCGACCCCUAAGGCGAGGCCGAAAGGCGUAGUCGAUGGGAAACGGGUUAAUAUUCCCGUACUCAAUCAAAUUGCGAUGGGGGGACGGAGAAGGCUAGGUGGGCCAGGCGACGGUUGUCCUGGUUCAAGUGCGUAGGCUUAAGAGUUAGGUAAAUCCGGCUCUUUCUAAGGCUGAGACACGACGUCGAGCACCUACGGGUGUGAAGUCAUUGAUGCCAUGCUUCCAGGAAAAGCCUCUAAGCUUCAGAUUUGAUGGAAUCGUACCCCAAACCGACACAGGUGGUCGGGUAGAGAAUACCAAGGCGCUUGAGAGAACUCGGGUGAAGGAACUAGGCAAAAUGGUACCGUAACUUCGGGAGAAGGUACGCUCUUGAUGGUGAAGUCCCUCGCGGAUGGAGCUGACGAGAGUCGCAGAUACCAGGUGGCUGCAACUGUUUAUUAAAAACACAGCACUGUGCAAAAUCGCAAGAUGACGUAUACGGUGUGACGCCUGCCCGGUGCCGGAAGGUUAAUUGAUGGGGUUAGCGCAAGCGAAGCUCUUGAUCGAAGCCCCGGUAAACGGCGGCCGUAACUAUAACGGUCCUAAGGUAGCGAAAUUCCUUGUCGGGUAAGUUCCGACCUGCACGAAUGGCGUAAUGAUGGCCACGCUGUCUCCACCCGAGACUCAGUGAAAUUGAAAUCGCUGUGAAGAUGCAGUGUACCCGCGGCUAGACGGAAAGACCCCGUGAACCUUUACUACAGCUUGGCACUGAACAUUGAACCUACAUGUGUAGGAUAGGUGGGAGGCUAUGAAGACGUGACGCUAGUUGCGUUGGAGCCGUCCUUGAAAUACCACCCUUGUAUGUUUGAUGUUCUAACUUAGACCCAUUAUCUGGGUUGAGGACAGUGCCUGGUGGGUAGUUUGACUGGGGCGGUCUCCUCCCAAAGAGUAACGGAGGAGCACGAAGGUGGGCUAAUCACGGUUGGACAUCGUGAGGUUAGUGCAAUGGCAUAAGCCCGCUUAACUGCGAGAAUGACGGUUCGAGCAGGUGCGAAAGCAGGUCAUAGUGAUCCGGUGGUUCUGUAUGGAAGGGCCAUCGCUCAACGGAUAAAAGGUACUCCGGGGAUAACAGGCUGAUACCGCCCAAGAGUUCAUAUCGACGGCGGUGUUUGGCACCUCGAUGUCGGCUCAUCACAUCCUGGGGCUGAAGUCGGUCCCAAGGGUAUGGCUGUUCGCCAUUUAAAGUGGUACGCGAGCUGGGUUUAGAACGUCGUGAGACAGUUCGGUCCCUAUCUGCCGUGGGCGUUGGAAGAUUGAAGGGGGCUGCUCCUAGUACGAGAGGACCGGAGUGGACGAACCUCUGGUGUUCGGGUUGUGUCGCCAGACGCAUUGCCCGGUAGCUAAGUUCGGAAUCGAUAACCGCUGAAAGCAUCUAAGCGGGAAGCGAGCCCUGAGAUGAGUCUUCCCUGACGGUUUAACCGUCCUAAAGGGUUGUUCGAGACUAGAACGUUGAUAGGCAGGGUGUGUAAGCGUUGUGAGGCGUUGAGCUAACCUGUACUAAUUGCCCGUGAGGCUUAACCAUACAACACCCAAGGGGUUUUGUA
rnacentral:rRNA from 1 species